rnacentral:rRNA from 1 species
GAUGAACGCUGGCGGCGUGCUUAACACAUGCAAGUCGAACGAAGCAUUUAGAACAGAUUAUUUCGGUAUGAAGUUCUUUAUGACUGAGUGGCGGACGGGUGAGUAACGCGUGGGUAACCUGCCUUGUACUGGGGGAUAGCAGCUGGAAACGGCUGGUAAUACCGUAUAAGCGCACGAUGUCGCAUGACAUAGUGUGAAAAACUCCGGUGGUAUAAGAUGGACCCGCGUCUGAUUAGCUAGUUGGUGAGAUAACAGCCCACCAAGGCGACGAUCAGUAGCCGACCUGAGAGGGUGCCCGGCCACAUUGGGACUGAGACACGGCCCAGACUCCUACGGGAGGCAGCAGUGGGGAAUAUUGCACAAUGGAGGAAACUCUGACGCAGCGACGCCGCGUGAGUGAAGAAGUAAUUCGUUAUGUAAAGCUCUAUCAGCAGGGAAGAUAGUGACGGUACCUGACUAAGAAGCUCCGGCUAAAUACGUGCCAGCCGCCGCAGUAAAAC